rnacentral:rRNA from 1 species
GCCUAACACAUGCAAGUCGAGCGAGAAAGCCCUUCCGGGUGAGUACAGCGGCGGACGGGUGAAUAACGCGUGGGAAUCUACCCCCUAGCGGGGGAUAGCCCGGGGAAACUCGGAUUAAUACCGCAUACGCCCUACGGGGGAAAGCAGGGGAUCUUCGGACCUUGCACUAUUGGAUGAGCCCGCGUCAGAUUACCUUGUUGGUGGGGUAAUGGCCUACCAAGGCGACGAUCUGUAGCUGGUCUGAGAGGAUGAUCACCCACACUGGGACUGAGACUCAGACCAGACUCCUACUGGAGGCAGCAGUGGGGAAUAUUGGACAAUGGGGGCAACCCUGAUCCAGCCAUGCCGCGUGUGUGAAGAAGGCUUUCGGGUUGUAAAGCACUUUCACUGUUGAGGAAAAGUUGUUGGCUAAUACCCAACGACCCUGACGUUACCCACAGAAUAAGCACCGGCUAACUCCGUGCCAGCAGCCGCGGUAAUACGGAGGGUGCAAGCGUUAAUCGGAAUUACUGGGCGUAAAGAGCACGUAGGCGGUUUGUUAAGCUAGCUGUGAAAGCCCAGGGCUCAACCUUGGAAUUGCAGUUAGAACUGGCAGGCUAUAGUACAGUAGAGGGAUGUGGAAUUUCCUGUGUAGCGGUGAAAUGCGUAGAUAUAGGAAGGAACAUCAGUGGCGAAAGCGACACCCUGGACCGAUACUGACACUGAAGUGCGAAAGCGUGGGGGAGCAAACAGGAUUAUAUAUCCUGGUAGUCCACGUGCGUAAACGAUGUCUACUAUCCGUUGGGGGACUUGAUCCUUUAGUGGCGCAGCUCACGCAGUAAGUAGCCCGCGUAGGGAGUACGGUCGCAAGAUUAAAAAUCAAAUGAAUUGACGGGGGCCCGCACAAGCGGUCGAGCAUGUGAUUUAAUUGGAAGCAACGCGAAGAACCUUACCUACUCUUUACAUCGUGAGAACUUAGUAGAGAUACCUCGGUGCCUUCGGGAGCUCAGUGACAGGUACUGCAUGGCUGUCGUCAGCUCGUGUCAUGAGAUGUUGGGUUAAGUCCCGUAACGAGCCCAACCCUUGUCUUUAGUUGCCAGCGAUUCGGUCGGGAACUCUAAGGAGACUGCCGGUGACAAACCGGAGGAAGGUGGGGACGACGUCAAGUCAUCAUGGCCCUUACGAGUAGGGCUCCACACGCAAUACAAUGGGCGGUACAGAGGGUUGCCAAGCCGCGAGGUGGAUCUAAUACAGUAAAUCCGUUUGUAGUCCGGAUUGGAGUAUUCAACUCGACUCCAUGAAGUUGGAAUCGCUAGUAAUCGUGAAUCAGAAUGUCACGGUGAAUACGUUCCCGGGCCUUGUACACACCGCCCGUCACACCAUGGGAGUGGGUUGCACCAGAAGUAGCUAGUCUAACCUUCGGGAGGACGGUUACCACGGUGUGAUUCAUGACUGGGGUGAAGUCGUAACAAGGUAGCCGUAGGGGAACGUGCGGCUGGAUCACCUCCUUA